UGCGUAGGGGGCAAGCGUUGUCCGGAUUUAUUGGGCGUAAAGAGCGUGUAGGCGGCCGUACAGGUCAGCUGUGAAAACUCGAGGCUCAACCUCGAGACGUCGGUUGAAACCGUACGGCUAGAGUCCGGAAGAGGAGAGUGGAAUUCCCGGUGUAGCGGUGAAAUGCGCAGAUAUCGGGAAGAACACCCGUGGCGAAGGCGGCUCUCUGGGACGGUACUGACGCUGAGACGCGAAAGCGUGGGGAGCGAACAGG
rnacentral:rRNA from 1 species